rnacentral:rRNA from 1 species
UUUAUGGAGAGUUUGAUCCUGGCUCAGGAUGAACGCUGGCGGCGUGCCUAAUACAUGCAAGUCGAGCGAACAGACGAGGAGCUUGCUCCUCUGACGUUAGCGGCGGACGGGUGAGUAACACGUGGAUAACCUACCUAUAAGACUGGGAUAACUUCGGGAAACCGGAGCUAAUACCGGAUAAUAUAUUGAACCGCAUGGUUCAAUAGUGAAAGACGGUUUUGCUGUCACUUAUAGAUGGAUCCGCGCCGCAUUAGCUAGUUGGUAAGGUAACGGCUUACCAAGGCAACGAUGCGUAGCCGACCUGAGAGGGUGAUCGGCCACACUGGAACUGAGACACGGUCCAGACUCCUACGGGAGGCAGCAGUAGGGAAUCUUCCGCAAUGGGCGAAAGCCUGACGGAGCAACGCCGCGUGAGUGAUGAAGGUCUUCGGAUCGUAAAACUCUGUUAUUAGGGAAGAACAAAUGUGUAAGUAACUAUGCACGUCUUGACGGUACCUAAUCAGAAAGCCACGGCUAACUACGUGCCAGCAGCCGCGGUAAUACGUAGGUGGCAAGCGUUAUCCGGAAUUAUUGGGCGUAAAGCGCGCGUAGGCGGUUUUUUAAGUCUGAUGUGAAAGCCCACGGCUCAACCGUGGAGGGUCAUUGGAAACUGGAAAACUUGAGUGCAGAAGAGGAAAGUGGAAUUCCAUGUGUAGCGGUGAAAUGCGCAGAGAUAUGGAGGAACACCAGUGGCGAAGGCGACUUUCUGGUCUGUAACUGACGCUGAUGUGCGAAAGCGUGGGGAUCAAACAGGAUUAGAUACCCUGGUAGUCCACGCCGUAAACGAUGAGUGCUAAGUGUUAGGGGGUUUCCGCCCCUUAGUGCUGCAGCUAACGCAUUAAGCACUCCGCCUGGGGAGUACGACCGCAAGGUUGAAACUCAAAGGAAUUGACGGGGACCCGCACAAGCGGUGGAGCAUGUGGUUUAAUUCGAAGCAACGCGAAGAACCUUACCAAAUCUUGACAUCCUCUGACCCCUCUAGAGAUAGAGUUUUCCCCUUCGGGGGACAGAGUGACAGGUGGUGCAUGGUUGUCGUCAGCUCGUGUCGUGAGAUGUUGGGUUAAGUCCCGCAACGAGCGCAACCCUUAAGCUUAGUUGCCAUCAUUAAGUUGGGCACUCUAAGUUGACUGCCGGUGACAAACCGGAGGAAGGUGGGGAUGACGUCAAAUCAUCAUGCCCCUUAUGAUUUGGGCU